AUCUUUAGACUUAUCCAGGAUGUUAGGAGGAAGUACUGUCGUAUUGGUGUGUGUGGCCCUGUUCUUGGUAGCCCCAAGUGAAGGAUCUUAUUCCAAUAAUGGAUGUGCCUGUGCUCAAUAUUGGGAUCCUGUGUGUGGUGUAGACGGACAGACGUACUCCAAUACUGGAUGCCUGGCAUGCGCUCGUAUCCCCAUGGCUUGUACAGGAGAAUGCCCUUGCUACGGACGCUACUGAACACAACACUUUCAACUUCUGUCAACCGUGACCUAAAGGUCUAGUGCAUAGGACUCUUAUGUCUGUAAAAUGAAUUUUCUUUUAAUAAUAAAAAGGUGAAAUUCUAAAUCAA